AGGCAAAUCCGGGAUCACUUACGCCGAGCACCGAGACGAGUCCUAUGAGGACGAAGUGACUGACACCACGCUUCCAGGAAAAGCCACUAAGCUUCAGCUUAAGAAAAACCGUACCGCAAACCGACACAGGUAGGCAGGGUGAGAAUCCCAAGGCGCUUGAGAGAACUCGGGUGAAGGAACUAGGCAAAAUGGCACCGUAACUUCGGGAGAAGGUGCGCCCUUUGGUGUGGUCACGUGCGUGACUGAGCAUCGAAGGGUCGCAGUAACCUGGCCGCUGCGACUGUUUAUCAAAAACACAGCACUCUGCAAACACGAAAGUGGACGUAUAGGGUGUGACGCCUGCCCGGUGCUGGAAGGUUAAUUGAUGGGGUCAGCCGCAAGGCGAAGCUCUUGAUCGAAGCCCCAGUAAACGGCGGCCGUAACUAUAACGGUCCUAAGGUAGCGAAAUUCCUUGUCGGGUAAGUUCCGACCUGCACGAAUGGCGUAACGACAGCGGCGCUGUCUCCACCCGAGACUCAGUGAAAUUGAAAUCGCUGUGGAGAUGCAGCGUUCCCGCGGCAAGACGGAAAGACCCCGUGAACCUUUACUAUAGCUUUACACUGUACGUUGAGUUCUUCUGUGUAGGAUAGGUGGGAGGCUAUGAAACCAGGACGCUAGUUCUGGUGGAGCCAUCCUUGAAAUACCACCCUGAAGUGCUUGACGUUCUAACCUAGGCCCGUAAUCCGGGUCAGGGACCGUGUAUGGUGGGUAGUUUGACUGGGGCGGUCUCCUCCCAAAGAGUAACGGAGGAGCACGAAGGUACGCUCAGCGCGGUCGGACAUCGCGCACUGUGUGCAAAGGCAUAAGCGUGCUUGACUGCGAGAUCGACGGAUCAAGCAGGUACGAAAGUAGGUCUUAGUGAUCCGGUGGUUCUGUAUGGAAGGGCCAUCGCUCAACGGAUAAAAGGUACUCCGGGGAUAACAGGCUGAUACCGCCCAAGAGUUCAUAUCGACGGCGGUGUUUGGCACCUCGAUGUCGGCUCAUCACAUCCUGGGGCUGUAGCCGGUCCCAAGGGUAUGGCUGUUCGCCAUUUAAAGUGGUACGCGAGCUGGGUUCAGAACGUCGUGAGACAGUUCGGUCCCUAUCUGUCGUGGGCGUUGGAGAUUUGAGGGGGGCUGCUCCUAGUACGAGAGGACCGGAGUGGACGUUCCGCUGGUGUUCGGGUUGUCAUGCCCAUGGCAUUGCCCGGUAGCUACGAACGGAAGUGAUAACCGCUGAAAGCAUCUAAGCGGGAAGCACGCCCCAAGAUGAGAUCUCCCGAGAGCUUGACUCUCCUAAAGGCACCAUCAAGACUAGGUGGUUGAUAGGUCAGGUGUGGAAGCGCAGCAAUGCGUUGAGCUAACUGAUACUAAUGAGCCGUGGGGCUUGAUC
rnacentral:rRNA from 1 species